CGUGCCCGAGCCGCUGCCGCGGCCGACGAGCUUCAGGUUCGUCAGGUCGUCCAUCUCCACGCUGGAGCGUCCCGCCAGCGGGUGCGUC
rnacentral:tRNA from 1 species